rnacentral:rRNA from 1 species
UUAAGUUAUUAAGGGCGCACGGUGGAUGCCUUGGCACUAGAAGCCGAUGAAGGACGUUACUAACGACGAUAUGCUUUGGGGAGCUGUAAGUAAGCUUUGAUCCAGAGAUUUCCGAAUGGGGAAACCCAGCAUGAGUUAUGUCAUGUUAUCGAUAUGUGAAUACAUAGCAUAUCAGAAGGCACACCCGGAGAACUGAAACAUCUUAGUACCCGGAGGAAGAGAAAGAAAAUUCGAUUCCCUUAGUAGCGGCGAGCGAAACGGGAAGAGCCCAAACCAACAAGCUUGCUUGUUGGGGUUGUAGGACACUCUAUACGGAGUUACAAAGGACGACAUUAGACGAAUCAUCUGGAAAGAUGAAUCAAAGAAGGUAAUAAUCCUGUAGUCGAAAAUGUUGUCUCUCUUGAGUGGAUCCUGAGUACGACGGAGCACGUGAAAUUCCGUCGGAAUCUGGGAGGACCAUCUCCUAAGGCUAAAUACUCUCUAGUGACCGAUAGUGAACCAGUACCGUGAGGGAAAGGUGAAAAGCACCCCGGAAGGGGAGUGAAAUAGAACCUGAAACCGUGUGCUUACAAGUAGUCAGAGCCCGUUAAUGGGUGAUGGCGUGCCUUUUGUAGAAUGAACCGGCGAGUUACGAUUUGAUGCAAGGUUAAGCAGUAAAUGUGGAGCCGUAGCGAAAGCGAGUCUGAAUAGGGCGUUUAGUAUUUGGUCGUAGACCCGAAACCAGGUGAUCUACCCUUGGUCAGGUUGAAGUUCAGGUAACACUGAAUGGAGGACCGAACCGACUUACGUUGAAAAGUGAGCGGAUGAACUGAGGGUAGCGGAGAAAUUCCAAUCGAACCUGGAGAUAGCUGGUUCUCUCCGAAAUAGCUUUAGGGCUAGCCUCAAGUGAUGAUUAUUGGAGGUAGAGCACUGUUUGGACGAGGGGCCCCUCUCGGGUUACCGAAUUCAGACAAACUCCGAAUGCCAAUUAAUUUAACUUGGGAGUCAGAACAUGGGUGAUAAGGUCCGUGUUCGAAAGGGAAACAGCCCAGACCACCAGCUAAGGUCCCAAAAUAUAUGUUAAGUGGAAAAGGAUGUGGCGUUGCCCAGACAACUAGGAUGUUGGCUUAGAAGCAGCCAUCAUUUAAAGAGUGCGUAAUAGCUCACUAGUCGAGUGACACUGCGCCGAAAAUGUACCGGGGCUAAACAUAUUACCGAAGCUGUGGAUUGUCCUUUGGACAAUGGUAGGAGAGCGUUCUAAGGGCGUUGAAGCAUGAUCGUAAGGACAUGUGGAGCGCUUAGAAGUGAGAAUGCCGGUGUGAGUAGCGAAAGACGGGUGAGAAUCCCGUCCACCGAUUGACUAAGGUUUCCAGAGGAAGGCUCGUCCGCUCUGGGUUAGUCGGGUCCUAAGCUGAGGCCGACAGGCGUAGGCGAUGGAUAACAGGUUGAUAUUCCUGUACCACCUAUAAUCGUUUUAAGCGAUGGGGGGACGCAGUAGGAUAGGCGAAGCGUGCGAUUGGAUUGCACGUCUAAGCAGUAAGGCUGAGUAUUAGGCAAAUCCGGUACUCGUUAAGGCUGAGCUGUGAUGGGGAGAAGACAUUGUGUCUUCGAGUCGUUGAUUUCACACUGCCGAGAAAAGCCUCUAGAUAGAAAAUAGGUGCCCGUACCGCAAACCGACACAGGUAGUCAAGAUGAGAAUUCUAAGGUGAGCGAGCGAACUCUCGUUAAGGAACUCGGCAAAAUGACCCCGUAACUUCGGGAGAAGGGGUGCUCUUUAGGGUUAACGCCCAGAAGAGCCGCAGUGAAUAGGCCCAAGCGACUGUUUAUCAAAAACACAGGUCUCUGCUAAACCGUAAGGUGAUGUAUAGGGGCUGACGCCUGCCCGGUGCUGGAAGGUUAAGAGGAGUGGUUAGCUUCUGCGAAGCUACGAAUCGAAGCCCCAGUAAACGGCGGCCGUAACUAUAACGGUCCUAAGGUAGCGAAAUUCCUUGUCGGGUAAGUUCCGACCCGCACGAAAGGCGUAACGAUUUGGGCACUGUCUCAACGAGAGACUCGGUGAAAUCAUAGUACCUGUGAAGAUGCAGGUUACCCGCGACAGGACGGAAAGACCCCGUGGAGCUUUACUGUAGCCUGAUAUUGAAAUUCGGCACAGCUUGUACAGGAUAGGUAGGAGCCUUUGAAACGUGAGCGCUAGCUUACGUGGAGGCGCUGGUGGGAUACUACCCUAGCUGUGUUGGCUUUCUAACCCGCACCACUUAUCGUGGUGGGAGACAGUGUCAGGCGGGCAGUUUGACUGGGGCGGUCGCCUCCUAAAAGGUAACGGAGGCGCUCAAAGGUUCCCUCAGAAUGGUUGGAAAUCAUUCAUAGAGUGUAAAGGCAUAAGGGAGCUUGACUGCGAGACCUACAAGUCGAGCAGGGUCGAAAGACGGACUUAGUGAUCCGGUGGUUCCGCAUGGAAGGGCCAUCGCUCAACGGAUAAAAGCUACCCCGGGGAUAACAGGCUUAUCUCCCCCAAGAGUUCACAUCGACGGGGAGGUUUGGCACCUCGAUGUCGGCUCAUCGCAUCCUGGGGCUGUAGUCGGUCCCAAGGGUUGGGCUGUUCGCCCAUUAAAGCGGUACGCGAGCUGGGUUCAGAACGUCGUGAGACAGUUCGGUCCCUAUCCGUCGUGGGCGUAGGAAAUUUGAGAGGAGCUGUCCUUAGUACGAGAGGACCGGGAUGGACAUACCUCUGGUGUACCAGUUGUCGUGCCAACGGCAUAGCUGGGUAGCUAUGUGUGGACGGGAUAAGUGCUGAAAGCAUCUAAGCAUGAAGCCCCCCUCAAGAUGAGAUUUCCCAACUUCGGUUAUAAGAUCCCUCAAAGAUGAUGAGGUUAAUAGGUUCGAGGUGGAAGCAUGGUGACAUGUGGAGCUGACGAAUACUAAUCGAUCGAAGACUUAAUCAA